CCCAGACUCUACGGGAGGCAGCAGUGGGGAAUAUUGCACAAUGGCGAAAGCCUGAUGCAGCGACGCCGCGUGAGGGAUGACGGCUUUCGGGUUGUAAACCUCUUUCAGUAGGGAAGAAGCGAAAGUGACGGUACCUGCAGAAGAAGCGCCGGCUAACUACGUGCCAGCAGCCGCGGUAAUACGUAGGGCGCAAGCGUUAUCCGGAAUUAUUGGGCGUAAAGAGCUCGUAGGCGGUUUGUCGCGUCUGCCGUGAAAGUCCGGGGCUCAACUCCGGAUCUGCGGUGGGUACGGGCAGACUAGAGUGAUGUAGGGGAGACUGGAAUUCCUGGUGUAGCGGUGAAAUGCGCAGAUAUCAGGAGGAACACCGAUGGCGAAGGCAGGUCUCUGGGCAUUAACUGACGCUGAGGAGCGAAAGCAUGGGGAGCGAACAGGAUUAGAUACCCUGGUAGUCCAUGCCGUAAACGUUGGGCACUAGGUGUGGGGGACAUUCCACGUUUUCCGCGCCGUAGCUAACGCAUUAAGUGCCCCGCCUGGGGAGUACGGCCGCAAGGCUAAAACUCAAAGGAAUUGACGGGGGCCCGCACAAGCGGCGGAGCAUGCGGAUUAAUUCGAUGCAACGCGAAGAACCUUACCAAGGCUUGACAUGAACCGGAAACACCUGGAAACAGGUGCCCCGCUUGCGGUCGGUUUACAGGUGGUGCAUGGUUGUCGUCAGCUCGUGUCGUGAGAUGUUGGGUUAAGUCCCGCAACGAGCGCAACCCUCGUUCUAUGUUGCCAGCGCGUUAUGGCGGGGACUCAUAGGAGACUGCCGGGGUCAACUCGGAGGAAGGUGGGGACGACGUCAAAUCAUCAUGCCCCUUAUGUCUUGGGCUUCACGCAUGCUACAAUGGCCGGUACAAAGGGUUGCGAUACUGUGAGGUGGAGCUAAUCCCAAAAAGCCGGUCUCAGUUCGGAUUGGGGUCUGCAACUCGACCCCAUGAAGUCGGAGUCGCUAGUAAUCGCAGAUCAGCAACGYGCGAUCUAGCAGC
rnacentral:rRNA from 1 species